rnacentral:rRNA from 1 species
UGCAGUCGACGGAGUUAUGUUGACAGAAGCCUUCGGGUGGAAGAUGAGAUAACUUAGUGGCGGACGGGUGAGUAACACGUGAGCAACCUGCCUAUCAGAGGGGGAUAACGUUCUGAAAAGAACGCUAAUACCGCAUAACGUGCGAGGGAGACAUCUCUCUUGUACCAAAGGAGCAAUCCGCUGAUAGAUGGGCUCGCGUCCGAUUAGGUAGUUGGUAGGGUAACGGCCUACCAAGCCGACGAUCGGUAGCCGGACUGAGAGGUUGAACGGCCACAUUGGGACUGAGACACGGCCCAGACUCCUACGGGAGGCAGCAGUGGGGAAUAUUGCACAAUGGGGGAAACCCUGAUGCAGCGACGCCGCGUGAGGGAAGAAGGUUUUCGGAUUGUAAACCUCUGUCCUUGGUGACGAAAAUGACGGUAGCCAAGGAGGAAGCCACGGCUAACUACGUGCCAGCAGCCGCGGUAAUACGUAGGUGGCAAGCGUUGUCCGGAAUUACUGGGUGUAAAGGGAGCGUAGGCGGGAAGAUAAGUUGGACGUCUAAUCUAUCGGCUCAACCGAUAGUCGCGUUCAAAACUGUUUUUCUUGAGUGAAGUAGAGGUAAGCGGAAUUCCUAGUGUAGCGGUGAAAUGCGUAAAUAUUAGGAGGAACACCAGUGGCG